rnacentral:rRNA from 1 species
AUACGGAGGGUGCAAGCGUUAUCCGGAUUCAUUGGGUUUAAAGGGUGCGCAGGCGGACUUGUAAGUCAGUGGUGAAAUCCCGGGGCUCAACCUCGGAACUGCCAUUGAUACUGCAAGUCUUGAGUUUGGUUGAAGUGGGCGGAAUGUAGCAUGUAGCGGUGAAAUGCAUAGAUAUGCUACAGAACACCGAUCGCGAAGGCAGCUCACUAAACCAACGCUGACGCUCAGGCACGAAAGCGUGGGGAGCGAACAGGAUUAGAAACCCCGGUAGUCC